GCCGCCGUAGCUUAGUCUGGUAAGAGCGCCGGACUCAUAAUCCGGAGGUCCGGGGUUCAAAUCCCCGCGGCGGCA
rnacentral:tRNA from 1 species